UUUUUGCACAUGCUCAGUUGCAAAGUUUUCCCCAUGCAUGUUCCUGGGCUGUGUUACCGGCGUCCGUGGUCUGGGGUUUUCUUUGUGGGCCGGGGUCUCUGUGAUGAAGAUUUUUAGUCUUCCUCGAUGUCCGCAAGAUGAACCCGGCUUGGAGCAUGCGCCUUUAAUAGGUGACUGUUCCUCAUUCACGUCAGGUCCUAAAGCAACACAGCUGGGCAGUGCUGGAGGGUGGGAUCCUCUCCCAGUGCUGAUGUGGGGAGCUGGCAGUGCCUCCUAUGUGUGAUCCUACUGUCACAGCUUGUAAGGACUUAAAGAGCACUGUGGCCUGUCUCAAACACUGUCAAGGCCACAGAAGGAAGUUGCCACAAGAUAAUCCACCCCAGUGGGAACUUCAGAUAAGCACAGAAGAGAGGAAUUUGCAACAGGAAGGUGCUAAUUCCAGGCCUACCAGAGGCCAGAUCUGGUCAGCACAUCCUAAUUAAUGCAUCUAUACAACAAUUCCAGCUGUGACAAACUGUGGGAAAGGAAUAAACUGCUCACACACCCCAAGUCACCACAGCCUCUGCAACCACCCUGUGGAUACCUGGAACUUGGACUGUAUUCACAGAAGAAUGGCUCUGGGACACCACUCCCACCAAGAAGCCCAGGAUGAAGGAGGACCAACAGGACACUGCUGGAUACACAGGUGGUGACUAUCCUACUUGAUCUCACUCUCUCCCCCUUUUUCUAUUUCUUUCUCUCUACCUCACCUCUAUUGUUAAAUAAAAUAGGUAUUAUUAUACUUGGGCAUAUGGUCUCAUUUGCACCUUAAUUUAGGCAGAUGCAUUUCUCACAGAUCUUAAUACAGCUCAGCCCUGAGCAGUGGCUUCAAGGAGGUUUGUGACCCUCUGCUCCCUCAUCCCACCUUGGCUGUCAAGGAAGAAGACAGCUCUAGUAGCAGCUGCUGAGCUGUCCCCAUAGCAGCUGCCAGUUCACCAAGAAAGUCUCCUUUUGAAGCCAAGACUCCUGGAGGGAGACUUACUGGGAAAAGACAGGUUUUGAGGACAAGAUGCUUUAUCCAGCAAAGCUGACAGAAAACAGCAAUUUUUCUAUUGAAGCAACCCUUCCCUGAGCUAUGCAGGAGAAGGAGACAAAGACCAUGAGAACCACAUCCCUACUCAGGGCAGGUGACUCUAGCUCCAUCUUUUGUGUAGUCCCACUAUAUAACUCCUUAACGUGCAUAUUUACAUUCAAGUGGUUUUGCCCAGUCGGCCAGCCCCUGGGACUGAGAAUGGUUUUGUCCAGGUGAAUUUUCGGACAAGAAGCCAAUUAAAACUCUCAGUAACCCCUUUGCUAAUUACAUAUUUAAGAAAACGGAAGAAAAGGGGAUUGCACAGUUGAAAUUAAGAGCAGCAGCCAUGUAGAAGAGCAGUGGGCCCAAGGGGGGCUAGGCCCCCUCCUCCCCCAGCCCUGGGCCAGAGGCAGGUAUAGCAUUGAAACUCCCCCUUCUCUUCUGUAAGAGAGUGAAGAAAAAAAAACUUUAAAAGACAAACUUCUUGGACAGAAACUGUGGCAGAAGAAUUGCAGCAAAGAGAAAAUGGAGUGUCCAAGGUCAAAAUUAGCAGCCAGAGGAGAGAGAAGAACUGUGCAAAGGGGGACUUGCUUCUCCUCCUCUUUUACUCUCUCCCUUCAGCAGGGAAAAGACUGAAAAGUAAUCCCUGCUACCUAUGGAAGUUUGUUGGGGUGAGGAGACCCCCCAUGCAGCUCACAGAGGAGCUCGUAGAUGAUGUACCAAGAAGUCGAGACUUCAUGAGAGACCUGAGGUGAGGCAGAGUCCUGUUGAAGACUUUGUGACCCUGAAGGAAACCCACGCUCAGGUGGGGUGUUGGGAUCUUAGUGAGAGAUCCAUGCUGCAGAGUUACUGGAGAGAGAAAGCUGGAACUCCAAGAAUGGAGAAAAGAACUCCUUCUCCUCCUUGGACUGAUAUAAAAGGGGGAGAGGAAUAUUUCUGUAAAUACAUAGUACUUUUACUUAAGUAGAAUUAUUGUAGAUAUAGUUCUUUAGUUUUAGCUUAUUAGUAAUAAAUGCUAAUACAUUUUCCCCCA